UAUUCUUUACUUUAUUUACUUCAUUAUUUUCAUUAUCUUUGAUGUUAGUUUUGGAAAUCACAGUCGUUUUAAUUUGUUCACAUAGUUAAUAACAUUUAUCGAUGCAAUUUCAUAUUUAUGUCGAGUUAAAGUUUAUGUUAAUCAUUUCACGUUUUAAGUUUCGCUUGAAAAUUUCACCAAAAUUAAAACAAUUAAAGAUUUAGUAUGGAACAAUUUAAAAUAUUAUUCAAUCAUUAGGUAAACUUAUUUGAAACAAUGACUUCAAGUCUAAAAUUAUAGCCGGAAAAAUUUGAACUGUUUGAGCAAACAAGUUUAUUUAUUACGUAGGCCUCUUUAAAUGUAAAAUAUUUGCUGUGAUGAUAGUUCACGUUGACUGAUCUCCGGAUUACUACGAGAGGGAAUGGGAAGAGGAUCGUCCGAUCUCUCGAUGCAGAUCGGCGCGUACCCCUCGUACACCAAGAGCCUUGUCGCCUCGUCGCCAUCUCCCUGAGCUAGACGAGGUGUUAGUUCAGCGGAACAAUGAGAGAAACAGACGUGCCGCUCGUCCAGUCAGCGCGAGAGAUCCACCACGUUCAUCGUGUUCAAGACGAGCUUCAAUCACACAGCGUCCAGCUUUUUCCAUUUAUUAACUAUUAUACGUGCAUGUCAUGCUUAAUGCCCAUUAGAAAAGUUCUAGCACCGUAUUUUAAAAGUUAAUAGGAAAUUAUAAGUUCACUUUCGUGUUCACUCAAGCUCAUCGAAGCUCAGUAUUUCCUCGGGUUUUUGAGAGUCGUAGACAUAAGUAAAAAUUAGUUUAAAAAGUACAAUAUGUCGUUGUUUUUAUUGUCAUUAUAUUAUUUUCGACAUUCCGAAUAAUUUACUGUUUUCGUGGCCUGGGACGACUAGCGUGUUAAUCGUUGAUAUUUGAGCAAUAUUAUUGAUUGAAUGUUCAACUUUAAAUAACACAACAAAAUAAUUAGUAUUCAAUAAUAUUUGAUCAAAAGAACGCCACUUAUCACUUAUUUAUACAAUUCCAAAUGAGUUGAACUACAUUUUUAGUUUCAUUGGUAAAUUUUAAAUUAAGGCUUGUGCAGCCGUAGCUGUCUCCGUGAAAUUAUUGAUUAGUUAUGUGAUCGAAUACACAAUUUCAAAGGUAGCGGAAUCUUUUAAAUAAAAAAUAUAAUUACACACCUUAAUAGGUUAACAUCGUCUUCACUAUUAAAGAUGGAGAAACGUAGUUUUAGCACAAAUUAUAUCUGGGCAUUGCAUUCAUGAGAUAGUAACCUGUUUUAAAGGAAUCGUAGAAGUUUUAAAGCAUCUAAAUGAUGCUAUUAGAUAUAGUGUUGUUUCAAUUGCACCAAAGGAGAAAUUGUACGAACAUUUAGUACAAAGAUGAUUAAUAAAAAUAAUAUUAUUCACAAGCA